GCAAAAUAUGGUCUUGAUGACAAUACUGUGGACUUCAUUGGUCAUGCAUUGGCAUUACACAGAGAUGACCGCUACUUAGACAAACCUGCGUUGGAUACAGUGAAGAGAAUGAAGUUGUAUGCUGAGUCUCUUGCACGUUUUCAAGGAGGAUCACCAUAUAUCUAUCCUUUAUAUGGAUUAGGAGAGCUUCCCCAGGCGUUUGCUCGACUUAGUGCUGUGUAUGGUGGGACCUAUAUGCUGAACAAACCUGAAUGCAAGGUAGAGUUUGAUGAAGAAGGAAAAGUCUGUGGUGUCACUUCAGAAGGAGAGACAGCUAAGUGCAAGAAAGUUGUAUGUGAUCCUUCCUACUUGCCCUCCAAGGUGAGGAAGGUUAGCAAAGUUGCAAGAGCUAUCGCAAUUAUGAGCCACCCAAUUCCAAAUACCAAUGAUUCACACUCAGUGCAAAUUAUUUUACCCCAAAAACAAUUGGGCCGUAAAUCUGAUCUGUACCUGUUCUGUUGUUCUUACACUCAUA
rnacentral:misc_RNA from 1 species